UACGUAGGGGGCAAGCGUUGUCCGGAUUUAUUGGGCGUAAAGAGCGUGUAGGCGGCCAUACAGGUCAGCUGUGAAAACUCGAGGCUCAACCUCGAGACGUCGGUUGAAACCGUAUGGCUAGAGUCCGGAAGAGGAGAGUGGAAUUCCCGGUGUAGCGGUGAAAUGCGCAGAUAUCGGGAAGAACACCCGUGGCGAAGGCGGCUCUCUGGGACGGUACUGACGCUGAGGCGCGACAGCGUGGGGAGCAAACAGGG
rnacentral:rRNA from 1 species